rnacentral:rRNA from 1 species
AUUGAACGCUGGCGGCAGGCCUAACACAUGCAAGUCGAACGAGUGGCGGACGGGUGAGUAAUGUCUGGGAACAUGCCUGAUGGAGGGGGCUAACUACUGGAAACGGUAGCUAAUACCGCAUACCAUCGGAUGUGCCCAGAGGGGAUUAGCUAGUAGGUGGGGUAACGGCUCACCUAGGCGAAGAUCCCUAGCUGGUCUGAGAGGAGGACCAGCCACACUGGAACUGAGACACGGUCCAGACUCCUACGGGAGGCAGCAGUGGGGAAUAUUGCGCAAUGGGCGCAAGCCUGAUGCAGCCAUGCCGCGUGUAUGAAGAAGGCCUUCGGGUUGUAAAGUACUGUCAGCGGGGAGGCGUUACCUGCAGAGGAAGCACCGGCUAACUCCGUGCCAGCAGCCGCGGUAAUUC